rnacentral:misc_RNA from 1 species
CACACCAUGGAAGUUGGUUACACCUUAAGACAGAGCGUAAAAACUUUGGCUACGGUACGAUCAGCGACUGGGGUGAAGUCGUAACAAGGUAGCCGUAGGGGAACCUGCGGCUGGAUCACCUCCUUUCUAAGGAAAUCGAAAAAUAUAAAAACAAUUAUUUUCGAUUUUAAAAAAAACGGUUAAUGUGACCGUCCUCAUUUCUCUUCUUUUAAUGUCUCUGAGUAGAACAAUGUAAUAAGGGGCCGGUAGCUCAGGUGGUUAGAGCGCACCCCUGAUAAGGGUGAGGUCGGAAGUUCGAGUCUUCCUCGGCCCACCAAUUUUAAGGGGGAUUAGCUCAGCUGGGAGAGCGCCUGAUUUGCAUUCAGGAGGCCAGCGGUUCGAUCCCGCUAUCCUCCACCAAAAUUUGAGACAUUUAGCUUUUUUAAAUCGUAAAUAUUAUUAAUAUCAAUAUCUAUAUCCGAUUGUUUUUGGAUAAAUUUCAAAAACAAUCAAAACAAAAAAUUUGAAUUUUACACAGAAAGUUUUUUUCUGUGCAUAAAUCAAGCGUUUAAGGGCGAUUGGCGGAUGCCUUGGCACUGUAAGACGAUGAAGGACGUGGUAUACUGCGAUAAGUUUCGGGGAGCUGUAUGCAGGCUUUGAUCCGAAAAUUU